UACGGGGGGGGUAAGCGUUGUUCGGAAUUACUGGGCGUAAAGGGCUCGUAGGCGGCCAACUAAGUCAUACGUGAAAUCCCUCAGCUUAACUGGGGAACUGCGUGCGAUACUGGAUGGCUUGGAUUUGGGAGAGGGAUGCGGAAUUCCAGGUGUAGCGGUGAAAUGCGUAGAUAUCUGGAGGAACACCGGUGGCGAAGGCGGCAUCCUGGACCAAUAUUGACGCUGAGGAGCGAAAGCUAGGGGAGCAAACGGG
rnacentral:rRNA from 1 species